ACCCUAAACCGACACAGGUGAACGAGUUGAAUAGACUCAGGUGAUGAGAGAACCACAUUGAAGGAACUCGGCAAAAUAUUCCCGUACCUUAGGAAGAAGGGAAACCAAGUAUGGUGACACAAAAAAAGGGGUGACGACUUUUUACUAAAAAAUUAGGACUCUGCAAAAUGGUAACAUGAAGUAUAGGGUCUGACGUCUGCCCGGUGCUAGAAGUUUAAAAGGAGUGUUGAAAGAUACAAAUGGAAAGCCUAGUAAACGGCGGUUGUAACUAUAACAAUCAUAAAGUAGCGAAAUUCAUUGCCAGCUAAUUCCUGGCCUGCAUGAAAGACGUAACGAUUGCCCCACUGUCUCCAGUGUGGACUCAGUGAAAUUGAAUUCUCCGUGCAGAUGCGGAGUACGUGCCCCAAGACGAGAAGACCCU
rnacentral:rRNA from 1 species